GACGAACGCUGGCGGCGUGCUUAACACAUGCAAGUCGAACGGAAAGGCCCUGCUUUUGUGGGGUGCUCGAGUGGCGAACGGGUGAGUAACACGUGAGUAACCUGCCCUUGACUUUGGGAUAACUUCAUGAAACUGGGGCUAAUACCGGAUAGGAGCUCCUGCUGCAUGGUGGGGGUUGGAAAGUUUCGGCGGUUGGGGAUGGACUCGCGGCUUAUCAGCUUGUUGGUGGGGUAGUGGCUUACCAAGGCUUUGACGGGUAGCCGGCCUGAGAGGGUGACCGGCCACAUUGGGACUGAGAUACGGCCCAGACUCCUACGGGAGGCAGCAGUGGGGAAUAUUGCACAAUGGGCGGAAGCCUGAUGCAGCAACGCCGCGUGCGGGAUGACGGCCUUCGGGUUGUAAACCGCUUUCGCCUGUGACGAAGCGUGAGUGACGGUAAUGGGUAAAGAAGCACCGGCUAACUACGU
rnacentral:rRNA from 1 species